rnacentral:rRNA from 1 species
UACGGGGGGGGUAAGCGUUGUUCGGAAUUACUGGGCGUAAGGGCUCGUAGGCGGCCAACUAAGUCAUACGUGAAAUCCCUCAGCUUAACUGGGGAACUGCGUGUGAUACUGGAUGGCUUGGAUUUGGGAGAGGGAUGCGGAAUUCCAGGUGUAGCGGUGAAAUGCGUAGAGAUCAGGAAGAACACCGGUGGCGAAAGCGCUCUGCUGGACCUUAACUGACACUGAGGGACGAAAGCUAGGGGAGCGAAUGGG